rnacentral:rRNA from 1 species
CCUACGGGUGGCAGCAGUGGGGAAUAUUGGGCAAUGGACGCAAGCCGGACCCAGCAAAGCCGCGUGAAGGAAGAAGGCUUUCGGGUUGUAAACUUCUUUUCUCAGGGACGAAGCAAGUGACGGUACCUGAGGAAUAAGCCACGGCUAACUACGUGCCAGCAGCCGCGGGAAUACGUAGGUGGCAAGCGUUAUCCGGAUUUACUGGGUGUAAAGGGCGUGUAGGCGGGAAAGCAAGUCAGAUGUGAAAACCAUGGGCUCAACCUGUGGCCUGCAUUUGAAACUGUUUUUCUUGAGUACUGGAGAGGCAGACGGAAUUCCUAGUGUAGCGGUGAAAUGCGUAGAUAUUAGGAGGAACACCAGUGGCGAAGGCGGUCUGCUGGACAGCAACUGACGCUGAGGCGCGAAAGCGUGGGGAGCAAACAGGAUUAGAUACCCGAGUAGUC